GGGACAUCGGGACUCAGUGGCAGAGUGCUUCCUUGACACGGAAGAGGCCACAGGUUCAAUCCCUGUAUCACCCACUA
rnacentral:tRNA from 1 species